ensembl:snoRNA
ACGACUGUGAUGAUUGGCACAGGGGUACGGACCUCAGCUGGAUCAUGGGAGCUGAAUGUGAACUUCCCCCUGAGGUUCCUGCAUGUGGUGGGAUACCCGGGGGGGCGUUCAUAUGAGAACAGAGCCUUAAUCUGAGCCGC